GAGAGAGAGAGAGCGAGAGAGAGAGAGAGAUGCUGUUUACAUAGUAAUACACAAGUCCUGAGCCAAAGUCAAACGAGAAAGAACUUGUUUGGAAGGAUGGUGUCAUUCCUUUUCCAGACUGAAAAGCACAGGGGGAGGGUCUAAUAGCUGGAGAGAGGGGAAGAGAGAGAGAGGAAAAAAGGAGAAGUUACCAUUACAGUCAACUCUUAACUCAGCUUGGAUCAAGAGGGGGGGAAAAAAGAAGAAGAACAAAAGCAAGAGGAGGAAGAUCCACACUGCAGCUGUGUUUAACCGGAUAAAUACACAAAAUGGAGGACUCCAGCAACAGCAAGCCCUUCAUGGUGACAUCCUCUCUGAACUUCAAAGUCACUACCCCGUCCUUCUACAACCAGCCAAAGAAGUUUGCCUCUGUGGCACCACCACGGCCCAAAAGUCUGACACCUCCCUCGGCUCCAUCGCCGACACCAAUAGGCACAGCUGUGAUUGGUCGAGUGGGAGAUCUGCCUCCGCCGCCUUCGCUCUGUGAUGACUUCCCACCCCCUCCUCCUCCUCCACUGGAUGAUGAUUUGCCAGCCCCUCCCCCCGAAUGCCAAACCACACCCCCUUCCUCCUCCGCCCCCCCUCCC